UACGAAGGGGGCUAGCGUUGCUCGGAAUCACUGGGCGUAAAGCGCACGUAGGCGGAUUGCUAAGUCAGGGGUGAAAUCCUGGAGCUCAACUCCAGAACUGCCUUUGAUACUGGCGGUCUCGAGUCCGGGAGAGGUGAGUGGAACUGCGAGUGUAGAGGUGAAAUUCGUAGAUAUUCGCAAGAACACCAGUGGCGAAGGCGGCUCACUGGCCCGGUACUGACGCUGAGGUGCGAAAGCGUGGGGAGCAAACAGGGAU
rnacentral:rRNA from 1 species